AAUUUUCCAUUUUAAGUUGGUUAUUUCUGAUUUAUAUUUAAAAUCAAAUAAUAAUGAUAUGGUAGGAGAUACACACCAAACAGGAUGUGUAAAUUAUUAUAUAAUAAGUAUUGUGCAAUAGCAAGAAAUUUUCAAUUGCACAGUAUUGCACAAUAGCAAGAAAUCUUCAAUUGCACAGUAUUGCACAAUAGCAAGAAAUCUUCAAUUGCACAGUAUUGCGCAAUAGCAAGAAAUAUCCAAUAGCACAAUAUUGCGCAAUAGCAAGAAAUUGUCAAUUGUACAGUAUUGCGCAAUAGCAAGAAAUAUUUAAUAGCACAGGAUUGUGCAAAAGAAGAUACUUCCUAUAAAUUGCUUAUUUCUUGACCAAUUUCAAUGGGGUUUUAUUCUUGAUUUCAUGGGGUUCUUUAAUAUGCUGAAUCUAACCGUGUAUUUAGUUUUUGGAUUUUGGGCCCCGUUUUUAAAUUGGUCCACAUUGAGGUCCAAAGGGUCCAAAAUUAAACUUUGUUUGAUUUCAUCAAAAAUUGAAUUAUUGGGGUUCUUUGAUAUGCCGAAUCUAACUGUGUAUUUAGAUUCUUAAAUUUUGGUUCCGUUUUCAAAUUGGUCUACAUUAAGGUCCAAAGGGUCCAAAAUUAAACUUAGUUUGAUUUUAACAAAAAUUGAAUUCUUAGGGUUCUUUGAUAUGCUGAAUCUAAACAUGUAUUUAGAUUUUUGAUUAUGGGCCCAGUUUUCAAGUUGGUCCAAAUCGGGGUCCAAAAUUAAACUUUGUUUGAUUUCAACAAAAAUUGAAUAUAUGGGGUUCUUUGAUAUGCUGAAUCUAACCAUGUAUUUAGAUUUUUGAUUUUUGGGCCCCGUUAUCAACUUUGUCCACAUUGAGGUCAAAAGGGUCCAAAAUUAAACUUUGUUUGAUUUCAUCAAAAAUUGAAUUAUUGGGGUUCUUUGAUAUGCCGAAUCUAACCGUGUAUUUAGAUUCUUAAUUUUUGGUUCCGUUUUCAAAUUGGUCUACAUUAAGGUCCAAAGGGUCCAAAAUUAAACUUAGUUUGAUUUUAACAAAAAUUGAAUUCUUAGGGUUCUUUGAUAUGCUGAAUCUAAACAUGUAUUUAGAUUUUUGAUUAUGGGCCCAGUUUUCAAGUUGGUCCAAAUCGGGGUCCAAAAUUAAACUUUGUUUGAUUUCAACAAAAAUUGAAUAUAUGGGGUUCUUUGAUAUGCUGAAUCUAACCAUGUAUUUUGAUUUUUGAUUUUUGGGCCCCGUUAUCAACUUUGUCCACAUUGAGGUCAAAAGGGUCCAAAAUUAAACUUUUGUUUGAUUUCAUCAAAAAUUGAAUUCUUGGGGUUCUUUGAUAUGCUGAAUCUAACCAUGUAUUUAGAUUUUGGAUAUUGGACCAUAAUAGGUGAAUGUCCAAUUUAAAAUUUUUAAGUUCUUAGACCACAUUAAAUCUGUGUUAGAAACCUAUGCUGUGUCAAAUAUUUAAUCACAAUCCAAAUCCAAAGCUGUAUCAAGCUUGAAUGUUGUGUCCAUACUUCCCCCAACUGUUCAGGGUUCGACCUCUGCGGUCGUAUCAAGCUGCGCCCUGCGGAGCAUUUUAUCUAAAAUGCUUUCUUAAAUCCUAGACACUGGAUGAGUUUUGUAUGACCUGUCUAAAAAGAUAUUCCUGUAAAAUUUAAUAUGAUGUAGGUACCGGUAGAUUUAUUACUAUAUAAACAUAAAUGUCUUUUAUUCAUCAGACAGUAAAAUACUAAGUCUCCCAAAUAAAGUUUUUUUUUAUUCAUUUCUUACAGUCUUAUUUACUGAACAUCAUUAGUGUUGUCCUAUAAUACACGGUCAGUAAAUUUUUAAUUGGGUGAAAGGUCAGCUUUAGUCCCCAUAUAAAAUUUACUGAUCUUGUAUAUGCCAUAUUAGGUUACUGAUGGGCUGAGUAAUAUUAAAACCCUACCAACAAUCUGAUACUUUGAAAGAAAAAAAGCAUCAGUAUCUAUAAGGUAAGAUAUAGGAUGAAUAUUGUUACCCAAAAACUUCAAAGUGAAAAUUCUUUGGUAAGAAUAGCUGCCAGAAGUUUGGUACAGAAGUCAAUUCACUUAAAUUUCUGUUUGUAGUACUUUAUCUGCAGAGAAAAAUGUGAAUUUUCAAAUUUUGGUAAAGAGGAUGGUAAUUGGGAUGAUUUUAUUAAAUCCAUAAUAGUAGAUAUUUAAUUUGGGAGACUUGAGAUUACCAACCGUAGCAGGUUGUAUGUUACAUGAUCAGCUGAAUCAUAGAACACAUUUCACAUCAUAUUGUUAUUUUAUUAUUUUUAUAUUGCCAAUUGUUUUUAUUGAAUUAUAAAAAAUGAAAUAAAAUGUGAACAACAAA